rnacentral:ncRNA from 1 species
UGUUAACGCAAGGGAGACCGAGAUGGGACUGACACGUUCGUUCAACAUCCUGGCAGUCGGAGUAGCGUUUCUUUUUGUCGCAGCGAUGCUUUUCAUCUGAGGACGACAACAACUCCAACACCGUAU